UACGUAGGAUGCAAGCGUUGUCCGGAAUUAUUGGGCGUAAAGAGCGCGCAGGCGGUAUGACAAGUCAGAUGUGAAAGAGGCCGGCUUAACCGGCAAGGGUCAUUUGAAACUGUCAGACUAGAGUGCAGCAGAGGAUAGUGGAAUUCCCGGUGUAGUGGUGAAAUGCGUAGAUAUCGGGAGGAACACCAGUGGCGAAGGCGGCGCCUGGGCCAAUAUUGACGCUGAGGUGCGAAAGCGUGGGGAGCAAACAGG
rnacentral:rRNA from 1 species